GUAUAUAACAUUGAUAUUACCAUGUCAAAAUUUUUAAUAAGUACAUGAAUGAUCGCCGUGAAAUCUUCAAGAUUUCUCCUAUAAAUACCCUUAAUAGAAAAUCUAGUUUUUCCAUCCAAAAUACAACAUUUCUCCAAUAGUCAUGGGAUUUGUUCUCUUUUCACAAAUGCCUUCAUUUUUUCCUGUCUCUACACUUCUCUUAUUCCUAAUAAUAUCCCACUCUUGUCGUGCCCAAAAUUCUCAACAAGACUAUUUGGAUGCCCAUAAUACAGCUCGUGCAGAUGUAGGCGUAGAACCUUUAACCUGGGACGACGAGGUAGCAGCUUAUGCAGAAAAUUAUGCUUCUCAAUUGGCUGCAGACUGCAACCUCGUACAUUCUCAUGGUCAAUACGGCGAAAACUUAGCUGAGGGAAGUGACGAUUUCAUGACGGCUGCUAAGGCCGUUGAGAUGUGGGUCGAUGAGAAGCAGUAUUAUGACCAUGACUCAAAUACUUGUGCACGAGGACAGGUGUGUGGACACUAUACUCAAGUGGUUUGGCGUAACUCGGUUCGUGUUGGAUGUGCUAGGGUUCAGUGUAACAAUGGAGGAUAUGUUGUCUCUUGCAACUAUGAUCCUCCAG
rnacentral:lncRNA from 1 species